rnacentral:ncRNA from 3 species
AUUAAAUACUAAGCGCCAGAACUCAAUAACUUGAGUUGACGAGGACAUGGUUUAUCGAAAAUUCGGCGGGUGCCAUGCGGUGUUACUACCACCGUAAACAGUUGUACAAAACCCAUAAGUGAUUAUGGAGACAAAGACAACUAGGUAGGUUUAA